UUAAGCGACUAAGCGUACACGGUGGAUGCCCUGGCAGUCAGAGGCGAUGAAGGACGUGCUAAUCUGCGAUAAGCGUCGGUAAGGUGAUAUGAACCGUUAUAACCGGCGAUUUCCGAAUGGGGAAACCCAGUGUGAUUCGUCACACUAUCAUUAACUGAAUCCAUAGGUUAAUGAGGCGAACCGGGGGAACUGAAACAUCUAAGUACCCCGAGGAAAAGAAAUCAACCGAGAUUCCCCCAGUAGCGGCGAGCGAACGGGGAGCAGCCCAGAGCCUGAAUCAGUGUGUGUGUUAGUGGAAGCGUCUGGAAAGGCGCGCGAUACAGGGUGACAGCCCCGUACACAAAAAUGCACAUGCUGUGAGCUCGAUGAGUAGGGCGGGACACGUGGUAUCCUGUCUGAAUAUGGGGGGACCAUCCUCCAAGGCUAAAUACUCCUGACUGACCGAUAGUGAACCAGUACCGUGAGGGAAAGGCGAAAAGAACCCCGGCGAGGGGAGUGAAAAAGAACCUGAAACCGUGUACGUACAAGCAGUGGGAGCACAGAGCAAUCUGUGUGACUGCGUACCUUUUGUAUAAUGGGUCAGCGACUUAUAUUCUGUAGCAAGGUUAACCGAAUAGGGGAGCCGAAGGGAAACCGAGUCUUAACUGGGCGUUAAGUUGCAGGGUAUAGACCCGAAACCCGGUGAUCUAGCCAUGGGCAGGUUGAAGGUUGGGUAACACUAACUGGAGGACCGAACCGACUAAUGUUGAAAAAUUAGCGGAUGACUUGUGGCUGGGGGUGAAAGGCCAAUCAAACCGGGAGAUAGCUGGUUCUCCCGAAAGCUAUUUUAGGUAGCGCCUCGUGAAUUCAUCUCCGGGGGUAGAGCACUGUUUUCGGCAAGGGGGUCAUCCCGACUUACCAACCCGAUGCAAACUGCGAAUACCGGAGAAUGUUAUCACGGGAGACACACGGCGGGUGCUAACGUCCGUCGUGAAGAGGGAAACAACCAGACCGCCAGCUAAGGUCCCAAAGUCAUGGUUAAGUGGGAAACGAUGUGGGAAGGCCCAGACAGCCAGGAUGUUGGCUUAGAAGCAGCCAUCAUUUAAAGAAAGCGUAAUAGCUCACUGGUCGAGUCGGCCUGCGCGGAAGAUGUAACGGGGCUAAACCAUGCACCGAAGCUGCGGCAGCGACGCUGAUGCGUUGUUGGGUAGGGGAGCGUUCUGUAAGCCUGCGAAGGUGUGCUGUGAGGCAUGCUGGAGGUAUCAGAAGUGCGAAUGCUGACAUAAGUAACGAUAAAGCGGGUGAAAAGCCCGCUCGCCGGAAGACCAAGGGUUACCUGUCCAACGUUAAUCGGGGCAGGGUGAGUCGACCCCUAAGGCGAGGCCGAAAGGCGUAGUCGAUGGGAAACAGGUUAAUAUUCCUGUACUUGGUGUUACUGCGAAGGGGGGACGGAGAAGGCUAUGUUGGCCGGGCGACGGUUGUCCCGGUUUAAGCGUGUAGGCUGGUUUUCCAGGCAAAUCCGGAAAAUCAAGGCUGAGGCGUGAUGACGAGGCACUACGGUGCUGAAGCAACAAAUGCCCUGCUUCCAGGAAAAGCCUCUAAGCAUCAGGUAACAUCAAAUCGUACCCCAAACCGACACAGGUGGUCAGGUAGAGAAUACCAAGGCGCUUGAGAGAACUCGGGUGAAGGAACUAGGCAAAAUGGUGCCGUAACUUCGGGAGAAGGCACGCUGAUAUGUAGGUGAAGUCCCUCGCGGAUGGAGCUGAAAUCAGUCGAAGAUACCAGCUGGCUGCAACUGUUUAUUAAAAACACAGCACUGUGCAAACACGAAAGUGGACGUAUACGGUGUGACGCCUGCCCGGUGCCGGAAGGUUAAUUGAUGGGGUCAGCGCAAGCGAAGCUCUUGAUCGAAGCCCCGGUAAACGGCGGCCGUAACUAUAACGGUCCUAAGGUAGCGAAAUUCCUUGUCGGGUAAGUUCCGACCUGCACGAAUGGCGUAAUGAUGGCCAGGCUGUCUCCACCCGAGACUCAGUGAAAUUGAACUCGCUGUGAAGAUGCAGUGUACCCGCGGCAAGACGGAAAGACCCCGUGAACCUUUACUAUAGCUUGACACUGAACAUUGAGCCUUGAUGUGUAGGAUAGGUGGGAGGCUUUGAAGUGUGGACGCCAGUCUGCAUGGAGCCGGCCUUGAAAUACCACCCUUUAAUGUUUGAUGUUCUAACGUUGACCCGUAAUCCGGGUUGCGGACAGUGUCUGGUGGGUAGUUUGACUGGGGCGGUCUCCUCCUAAAGAGUAACGGAGGAGCACGAAGGUUGGCUAAUCCUGGUCGGACAUCAGGAGGUUAGUGCAAUGGCAUAAGCCAGCUUGACUGCGAGCGUGACGGCGCGAGCAGGUGCGAAAGCAGGUCAUAGUGAUCCGGUGGUUCUGAAUGGAAGGGCCAUCGCUCAACGGAUAAAAGGUACUCCGGGGAUAACAGGCUGAUACCGCCCAAGAGUUCAUAUCGACGGCGGUGUUUGGCACCUCGAUGUCGGCUCAUCACAUCCUGGGGCUGAAGUAGGUCCCAAGGGUAUGGCUGUUCGCCAUUUAAAGUGGUACGCGAGCUGGGUUUAGAACGUCGUGAGACAGUUCGGUCCCUAUCUGCCGUGGGCGCUGGAGAACUGAGGGGGGCUGCUCCUAGUACGAGAGGACCGGAGUGGACGCAUCACUGGUGUUCGGGUUGUCAUGCCAAUGGCACUGCCCGGUAGCUAAAUGCGGAAGAGAUAAGUGCUGAAAGCAUCUAAGCACGAAACUUGCCCCGAGAUGAGUUCUCCCUGACUCCUUGAGAGUCCUGAAGGAACGUUGAAGACGACGACGUUGAUAGGCCGGGUGUGUAAGCGCAGCGAUGCGUUGAGCUAACCGGUACUAAUGAACCGUGAGGCUUAACCUU
rnacentral:rRNA from 1 species